rnacentral:rRNA from 1 species
CCUACGGGAGGCAGCAGUAGGGAAUCUUCCACAAUGGACGAAAGUCUGAUGGAGCAACGCCGCGUGAGUGAAGAAGGGUUUCGGCUCGUAAAGCUCUGGUGGUAGUGAAGAAAGAUAGAGGUAGUAACUGGCCUGUAUUUGACGGUAAUUACUUCAAAAUUCACGUCUAACUACGUUCCAGCAGCCGCGGUAAUACGUAGGUGGCAAGCGUUGGCCGGAUUUAUUGGGCGUAAAGCGAGUGCAGGCGGUUCAAUAAGUCUGAUGUGAAAGCCUUCGGCUCAACCGGAGAAUUGCAUCAGAAACUGUUGAACUUGAGUGCAGAAGAGGAGAGUUGAACUCCAUGUGUAGCGGUGAAAUGCGUAGAUAUCAGGAGGAACACCGGCGGCGAAGGCGGCCUGCUGGACCGCGACUGACGUUGAGGCUCGAAAGCGUGGGGAGCGAACAGGAUUAGAGACCCGAGUAGUC